rnacentral:lncRNA from 1 species
AUACUUGUUCUUCCAUUUUCUCGGAAAAUCCUCCAAAAUUUUCUCAAAAAAUGGUCUUCAUGACCUCUCAAUUUCCCUGGAAUGAUUUCCACUCAUUCCGACAUCACAAUCAUCAUCAUUCCAAUCACUUCAAUCUCUUUGUUUAUUCUAUACAAAAACACAAUACAAUCAUUCUUCAAAAUUUUCAAUGCAAUGAUCCAAAUCUCUUCAACAUUAAUUUCCAUUUCAAUUCCUAAGCAUUGUUUUCUCCUAUAUUUUCAAUGACGGAUUCUACCGGAAAGAACGGAAAGGGAUCGAAUAGGAAAAUAAUUGCGNNNNNAUUUAGCUUGAUGAAUAUGAAUGAGAAGGGGUUGGAGAAAAAUUGGCCAGUUGUUGCAGCUGGGUCUGCUGGUGGAAUUGCAUUGGUUGUUGUUUUAAUACGUUUUUUCUUUGGAAAAAAGAGAUGAAAGAAAGAUAGAGAGAUUUCAAUGGAAUGAUGAAGAUAGAGACAUUUUUGAUGUCAGAACUGACUCCCGAAUUAGACUAGUAAUAUUGUUUUUUUUUCCUUUGUAUUCGGGAGCUAUGAAUUUUGUUUUGAUUUAUGUUAUUUGUUAUGUUUUUAGUUGCUAACCCGUUGCAUCAAGAGAAUUAGUGCAUGAUUGAAUUUAAGGCAAGUUUGAUUGAAUUAGAAAGCCACCAUGAUUUUAUAAAAGCGACUUCUGUUUUUGAUUUAUUAA